UUGGUGUCUAUUUAGAAUUGCUGAUACCUCACAAAUCGCGAUUCUUAAUUUGAAUUUUCUCUUGCAGAGACGUUUUUUUGGUUCGUCUUCUUGGAAAGCCAUCGCAGAAGAAAUGAGAAAUCCACAUACCCUAUCCGACGGAUCUUCUUCAAGGGCUCUGCUAUAUCCUUCUUCUAUUCUAUCAAGCCAUUAUGUGGCGACACCUUUCUUCCCAGGUACUACUUCCUCUUUCUUUAACUUUUAAAAACUAAACAAAACAAAUCGGUUUUGUUAUAUAAGUAGUAAUGCUUGAAAACAAGUAGUUCAUAUGUCUUUGUAGUUUUCACCUGUAUUCGUUAUGUGUCUUUUUAUUUAAUUAAAUUCCACUCUUUACUCAUUUCCUUAUUCUUUGUAUGUUGAUUUUAUUUCUAGUAUUUCAAAUUUGCUUGAUUUCUAUAUCUUUAGCGUGGAGGUUUCUUUAGUUCUACGAGGUAAUCUUAACUACAUCUCUAGAGUGGCCCCUAUUGCUAUAAUGUGAUGAGCUUGUCCCAUGGUUUCCUAAUUGUCCAAGCUAUAACCAAAUGACUCAUAAUGAUGUAAUCUUAAUUACCUCUCUGAAAUGUCCCUGAUGCCAGAACAUAGAUUAUGUUGUCCCGCUUGUCUAUAAAGCUCUGUUUUCUAGUCUCAGAGCUAUAAUGAAACAAGGUAAUCUUAAUUACCUUUCUGAAAUGUCCCUGAUGAUAGAACACAGAGCUUGUCUCAUAGCUAAAAAUGAAAUAAGGUAAUCUUAAUUACCUUUCUAAAUGUCCCUGAUGAUUGAACAAAGAUCUUCUCCCAUGGUUAACUAUUCACCAAGCUAAACAAAUGCCUCUUACUAUAGGUAAUUUUAAUUACCUCUUUGAAGUGUCCCUGAUGCCAUAAUGUAAGUGAGCUUGUCCCAAAUAAACAAAUGCCUCGUGUCAAGGUAAUCUUAGUUACCUUUUUGAAAUGUCCCUGAUGAUAGAACACAGAGCUUGUCCCACGGUUUACUAGUCUCAUAGCUAUAAGGUAAUCUUAAUUACCUUUCUGAAUGUCCCUGAUGGUUGAACAAAGAGCUCACAUGGUCUUAUUCACCAAGCUAAACAAAUGCCUCUUACUAUAGGUGAUUUUAAUUACCUCUUUGAAGUGUCCCUGAUGCCAUAAUGUAAGUGAGCUUGUCCCAAAUAAACAAAUGCCUCGUGUCAAGGUAAUCUUAAUUACCUUUCUGAAAUGUCCCUGAUGAUAGAACACAGAGCUUUUCCCACGGUUUACUAGUCUCAUAGCUAUAAGGUAAUCUUAAUUACCUUUCUGAAUGUCCCUGAUGGUUGAACAAAGAUGUCUCAUGGUCUUAUUCACCAAGCUAAACAAAUGCCUCUUACUGUAGGUAAUUUUAAUUACCUCUUUGAAGUGUCCCUGAUGCUAUAAUACAAACGAGCUUGUCCGUGAAUAAGUCAGGUUUUCUAGUCAUCCGAGCUAUAAACAGAUGCCUCCUAACGAGGUAAUCUUAGUUACUUCUAUAAAAUGUCCCUUAUGAAAGUUAACAAGUGAGCUUGUCCUGCCGUAAAAUAAAGUGAGCUUGUCCUGCCGUAAAAUCAAGUGAGCUCUAACCAAAUGCCUCGUAACAAGGUAAUCUUAAUUACCUCUCCGAAACGUCCCUACUAGUAUUAUGUCUCUUAAUUUGGGCUACUUGGAAUCCUUGUUACCUGAGUUAAACACAAAAUGCCUUCGGAGUUAUUUGAGAUCUUAGUCACUCAAGUAAAAUGUAAAACAAAACGAAAGUCCCUGACGCUAGAAUACAAAUGAGGCUGUCCCACCUCGUUCAGUACUCAGUUGUCGAUUCACCUGAGUUAAACACUAAAGCCUCAGAAAAAUGAAAGCCAAAUGAAUUGUAAUGAGGAAAUUUCCCGAUGGCAUAACACAAGUGAGCUUGUUCAGCAGUUUCCUAAUUACCGUAGAGUCAAGGUAAUCUUUAUUACCUACCUCUCUUCAAUGUCCCUGAAUAAGCUGGUUUCCUAGUCAACCGAGCUAUAACAAAUGCCUCGUAACGAGGUAGUCUUAAUUACCUCUCUAAGAUGUCCCUGAUGCCAGAACACAGAUGAAGAAGUUGUCCCGCCUGUUAAUAAUACUUGUUUCCUAGCCUCAGAGCUAUAAUCAAAAUGCUCUGGAACAAGGUAAUCUUAAUUACCUUUCUGAAAUGUUCAUAGAACACAAAGCUUGUUCCACAGUUUACUAGUCUCAGAGCUAUAAUCAAAAACGCUCUGAGAAAAGGUAAUUUUAGUUACCUUUCUAAGUGUCCCUAUGAUUGAACAAAGAGCUUGUAAAAAUGCUUUGUACUGCAGGUAAUUAUAAUUACCUCUUUGAAUGAAGUGUUCAUGAUGAUAGAACAGAGCCUGUCUCACGGUUUGCUAGUCUCAGAGUUAUAAUCAAAAGUGCUUUGAGACAAGGUAAUUUUAAUUACCUUUCUAAAUGUCCCUAAUGAUUGAACAAAGAGCUUGUACAAAUGCCUCGUACUGCAGGUAAUUAUAAUUACCUCUUGUCCCACGGUUUACUAGUCUCAGAGCUAUAAUCAAAAAUGCUCUAAGACAAGGUAAUUUUAAUUACCUUUCUAAAUGUCCCUGAUGAUUGAACAAAGAACUUGUACAAAUGCCUCGUAAUGCAUGUAAUUAUAAUUACCUCUUCGAAGGGUCCCUGAUACUAAGAAUGCAAAUGAGAUUUUCCCACCUCAGUAAAUCACUCAGGUUCGAUACCUGAGGCUGAGUUAAACACAAAUGCCUCUGGAAUUGCUUAAGAUCCUAAUCACUCAAGAUAAAUAAAAGGCAAGAGAUCAAAUGAUGCAAAUGAGGAAGUUGUCUCACCUCUUUGGAUUACUCUGGGUAUUUGGUCAAUUAAGUUAAACACAAAUGUCUCGGCCCAGAUCUAAUGAAAAUGAUCAAACUAAAAGAAAAAAACCGAGUCUCUAGAAUGAGUUUGGGCUGCCUCUUCAAAUUACUCGAUUCCUAGCCAGCCACACAAUCCUUCCCGGUUCCAAGUGUCUUAAGGGAUGAGGUAACUAUUUUCCUUCUUCUGUUUCAGGUAUGUGUUUUUCUAAUUCUCUCUGUGUAUGGUGCUUUAUUUCUUGAUCUAUGUUUUAACUCUUAAGCUUUGAUCUGUUCUUCUUUAUGCAGGUUGACCUCUGUAGUACAAAUUCAUUGUGUUUACACACUAUCUAGAAUAUCAACAAAAUAAUUUCAUGUUAUUUUUUUCCAUUUGAACAAGCUGACAGAUGUCGUCUAACUCCACCUUUCUAUCUUUCUUUGCAUGUAGUUUUCCUCUGGGUUUCAAAGAUCACGCCAAGAGUUUCAGGAGCUUGAUAUCCAUGCAGUUUCUUAUCCAUGUUGCUUGAGUUAAUGAUAACUACCAUUAUAAUAAGUUUUUUUCAUCUCAGUUUUUCAGAAUAUCCUUAUUUAGGUUGUACACUAUUGUCUAUUUAUCUAUGUUAAAUUGAUCUCUUAAACUUUGUAUUAUUCUUUGGUACAUAAUUUUCUCUCGUAAGAAAGUUGA